AAGCAAGCAGUUCUAAAACCAUAACUUCCCAUCUUUUUCUAUUUGGAAAAAAUAUAUAUCCAACAUGUAUUUAAACGUUUUGUCACACACCACAGGAAAC